rnacentral:RNase_P_RNA from 1 species
CCAGACGGCCGGAUGGCCGCCUUCCGUGCGCGACAGCGUGGCGGGGGGAGGAAAGUCCGGGCUCCACGGAAACACGGUGCCGGGUAACGCCCGGCGGGGGCGACCCCAGGGAAAGUGCCACAGAAAGCAAACCGCCCUGCUUCGCUCUCACGAGCUUCGCGGGGUAAGGGUGAAAGGGUGCGGUAAGAGCGCACCGCGCCCCCGGCGACGGGGGCGGCACGGUAAACCCCACCGGGAGCAAAACCGAAUAGGGACGACGGGCCGGCUUGUCCGGCAGGCGCGUUUCCGCGCUGUCGUCCGGGUUGGUUGCGCGAGGCGUCCGGCAACGGGCGUCCCAGAUGAAUGGCCAUCUCCUCUGCCGCUCCGGCGGCGGAGGAACAGAACCCGGCUUACAGGCCGUCUGGCACU